AAAUUAUCAGUAUUAUUCGGUGUGGAGGGCUGGAACAAGCAACACAAAAAUUCUAAAUUUUCCAAGUUUUAUUCGGUUUAAAUUUUGACUAGAGAUUAAGAAUAAAGUGAAAUUAUGUUUAAGCUAAUUUAAGAAAAAAGUGAAAAACAAAAACACAAACAGAACCAAACAAAAAAAGACAGUGAAAAGAAAACAAAAGAGGUUCGUUUAGUAAGAAAGCAUUUAGUUCCUGCUCGAGUAAUAAGUUCACUCUAUUUAGCCGCCUCCGUCCCUAAGGCUAUACUUAGGUCUCUGUAGACAACACAAACCAACCAACAGUGGCUGCUGCAUAUUCUGUAAGACCGAUUUCCAAUUACACCCGAAUCAAUAGAAUAACAACUAAAAGGCUUGUGCGAUUCAGCGUGGUGCUACUCUGAUGUCUCCGUCGUUGUCCAAUCAACGACGGCGAUGCUCUUCACUCACUUCACACACUUUUGCUGAACUGACAGCAGACUGGCUUGUAUAUUAAUGAAUGAACCCUACAAAUCAUACAUAUAUUUUGAUAAUUACACAUAUUCUAUUUUGAUACUAAUAAUCAUAUA